rnacentral:lncRNA from 1 species
CUAAACAGCAGGAUACGACAAUAAAUGGGAAAACAGCAAUAGAAAAAGCACACUAGGUUAAUAUAGGAAAACUAGUUUCUUUAUUGAGAGAUCGUAUAUUAGUAUUAGUGGAAUCGUGUGUAACAAUGUCAUCAUGCACACAAUACAAAAAGGCAAGGCCCACCAUGCUAUGGAAGGGCAACAGAACAAAAGCAGCGUACACUGAGCAGAUGUAUAGGCUACAGCACAUUACAUUUCAGCAGGGUAUGUCUCUACAGAGAGAUUUACAUCAGAAACUAGGUAAUGUAAAAAAAUACAGACCAUGCUUUAGUUUUAGUACAAGAAAAAAGGUGGAGAUACACAACCAAAGGAUAUUCGGUACAGAAAAAAUUACCCACAAAAUAAGAACAGGAAGUAAUUCAGCACAGCAGAAAAAAAUGUUAUCCCUGUUUAAUGGAAAACCAUUUUGCCAGUCGUCUCUUUCGGCAGCCCGGUUUUUUUGGGGGUGCGCGGGCGGGACGGGACACUUGUGGCUGCAGGGAGGGACGGGGCUGGGGGCGAUGCCCGGCGGUGUCACCGCGGGGACAGGGAUGCUGCACCCUCCGCCCGCGGCUGCUCGACCACACACAUCCCACUCCCCAACUCUCUGCCAGCCCGAUUUUCCGAAUCGCGGCCAAUCGCUGCGCUUCCCCUCCCCAAAUUUAAUGGGUUUUUUUUCUUUUUUUGGAAGGUUUUCAGCAGGGAGGUGGGACCAGAUGACCCCACCGUGGUCCCGCUCCAACCUCAGCCGCCCCAGUGAUUGUGGGUUUGGCCGCAAUUUGGGGGCGUCUGCCCCCACCCCACCCCAAAGAGACUCUGCGACGACGACCACAGCAAAACGAAUCCACUUAACAGGAAUUUACAGUGCAAAUGUAACUCAGCUACUACACAGGAUGGAGGUACAAAAAUGGCUGUUAUCGGCUACAGCUACGCUGGGAUGGCCUGGUGGCUACGGUGAGGGGUGGGGGAGAGGGUAAAUUAAAAAAUAAAAUAAAAUCCGUAAAAGAAGAACGGGGUGGG